UACGUAGGGCGCGAGCGUUGUCCGGAUUUAUUGGGCGUAAAGAGCUCGUAGGCGGCUUGUCGCGUCGACUGUGAAAACCCGAGGCUCAACUUCGGGCUUGCAGUCGAUACGGGCAGGCUAGAGUUCGGUAGGGGAGACUGGAAUUCUUGGUGUAGCGGUGAAAUGCGUAGAUAUCAAGAGGAACACCUGCGGCGAAGGCGGGUUGCUGGGCCGACACUGACGCUGAUGCGCGAAAGCCAGGGGAGCGAACGGG
rnacentral:rRNA from 1 species